UGGACAAAUAAAAGAAGAAAAAAAAAAAAAAUCAGUUGCCUCUAAAUAAACUGAAUCCUCACAAAAAUAAGCCAAUUCAUGCUUGAAUAGCCAGUCUCACUUGAUUCAUAACAAAACAAAUAACAAUGUCCUCACCCCGAAAAAAGAUCUCAACAAGGGGAGACAAAAAAAUUCCUCCAAUUUAAGGAUAUAAAGGAAGUGAAAAUCUCCUUAUUCAGUUUUAAAUGAUGGGAGCCAAAUCUAAGUUACAAUAUCAGAACUGCCCAGCUGCUUUCAGGAAACAUCAAAAAAUUUAAUGUAACUUUGGACCAGGCUAACAGCCACAACAGCAAAGAAAGGCUAACUCGUUUACAACUGACAUUACCAAAUUUAUUCAAAUAAUAAAGCUACAGGUGAUGCCACAAUCAAAUUUGAUACUGUAUAGAUAUUUAUCUCAACUCAACUUGUGAAUCGUUUUCAUGUCAACUGCUUCCUUGAGUGUCCCAUUUUCGACAUUUUCCCACCAUUUCAACAAGAAGUUGUCC
rnacentral:misc_RNA from 1 species